CACAAUAAAAUAUGAAGGCUGUACGCGGCUGUGCUCUCGGGCCAGUUUUGCGGAGGCUGAAUUAUUUAUUACCCUUGUCUUUUGCGCACUUGUUGUUUCCUGGGCGGGUUCGCCCGCCACCAGGACCACGUCAUAAACCUUGUUUAUGCAGUUGCAAUCAGCGUCAGUAUAACAAAUGUAAAUCAUUUA
rnacentral:misc_RNA from 1 species